GAUGAACGCUGGCGGCGUGCCUAAUACAUGCAAGUCGAGCGAACAGACGAGGAGCUUGCUCCUUUGACGUUAGCGGCGGACGGGUGAGUAACACGUAGGUAACCUACCUAUAAGACUGGGAUAACUUCGGGAAACCGGAGCUAAUACCGGAUAAUAUUUCGAACCGCAUGGUUCGAUAGUGAAAGAUGGCUUUGCUAUCACUUAUAGAUGGAUCUGCGCCGUAUUAGCUGGUUGGUAAGGUAACGGCUUACCAAGGCAACGAUGCGUAGCCGACCUGAGAGGGUGAUCGGCCACACUGGAACUGAGACACGGUCCAGACUCCUACGGGAGGCAGCAGUAGGGAAUCGUCCGCAAUGGGCGAAAGCCUGACGGAUCAACGCCGCGUGAGUGAUGAAGGUCUUCGGAUCGUAAAACUCUGUUAUUAGGGAAGAACAAACGUGUAAGUAACUGUGCACGGCUUGACGGUACCUAAUCAGAAAGCCACGGCUAACUACGUG
rnacentral:rRNA from 1 species